CACACAUAAAAUAAACACCCGUUAAAAACCCACAGCACCUUCUCUAAUCUCAUUUUUUCUUCUGAUUUUCCACCGGUUGAAGAUGACUGGUCUUUGUUGGAAGAUCAUCAUUUUUCUCUCUCUAAAAUGAUCGAUUGCGUCUCUGAUUUGAUGUAUUUGUUGUGGUGGAACACCCACCUUUGCUGGGUUUGGUCGAUCAUGUGGUCUGCGGCGAUGUUAGUUUCGUCAUGAAACACCGACAGCUGCGUUAGGGUUCAUGAUUGUGGUCUGCGGCGAUGUUUGUUUCGUCAUGAAACACCGACGGUUGCGUUAGGGUGCACGAUUCCUUCUUCAACUGAAUGCGUUCUUCUCUAGAGACACCACAGGUGAACCAUUGUUGCUCAUGUUUGUUUCACACCCAAAGAAAGAGAGAGAUGGAGAUGCACGGUGCUCCUGCGCCUACUUCGGUGAACAGCGUCCUCUACUUCGUAUUUUAAACACAAGGGUUUUGCGAAAGCCAUGGGUCGGAAUCGGAGAUCCGCCAGCUUGCGCCACGGUAGACACAUUUUUUAUCUCAGCUGAGUCUGCUUCAGCUUCAGCUUUGUGCGUACCUUGAUCUAUGGUAUGAUUAGAGGAGUUGCUUUUGAUUUAUUUUGUUAAUUGGUAUGAUUAUUUAUGUCUUUUUUUUAUUAUGAUGGUUGAUUGAAGAUGGGUGUACUUAUAUUUGUGAGUAUGUUUAUGUAAUAUUUAGUUUUAGGGGCUGCCCUAAUUUUGAUAUGAUUUGGGGUGUGUAGUUUAUUUAAGCUAUUGAAUAUGUGUUUCUAAACUUAAAAUGGAAGAGUAAUAUGUUAUAGAAGUAAGUUUAAUGCAAACUUGUACAUAUGUAAAAUUCAUCAUGCUUGAACUCAGCUAUAAAUAGUCUACUACCCACUUAGUAGCUGGUGUGUGUGUGUGAUAUAUAUUAUCUGGUUAGGAAAAAAGGAUUGUGAUUCUUCAAAAGAUCCGAAUCUAAUGUGAUAACAAAAUGUUGUCAAAUGUGGCAUCAGAGAAUAUUUUUCUCUGAUGUGGAGGUGAUAAGGAAAAGGAACCUCUUAUAAGGACGUAAGUGGAGGUCUCUUGACAUUAAAGUGACAAAGUGGAGUUUUGUUUCUACACAUAUACGUUCUUAGGAUGCUUUUUGGAUAAGAUUUAUGCAAUACCUUUUAACUGGGAUAUUGGGUAUAACCAUGUGUUACCACAUGCUUCUAGCGCACCAUAGUCUCAGGCUACCUAAAUGGCUUGAAUACACAUGUGAUUAAUUGGGAGUUCAAGCUAUCCAGGUCUGGUCUGAUCUUAUCUAACCUUUUUAAUUUGGUUUUAUAACUGUUAAUUCUUUCUUGUCACUUCAUUUGGAAAUACAUUACUGUACAUAAUUGGCUUGCAACACUAACAAAAGACUCACUGAUUUUUUAGGGAUCCAACAUAUUGGGUGAGUAUCCAUGGCUAUCAUCAUUAGUAUGUUGAUUUGGAGAAUGAUCCACAUACUCUGACUUACAGAUUUUGGUUUACUCGUUGGUUAUUUGACAUUAGCUACAUUAUGGAGAAGUAUAAAUAACAUAAAAAUUGUAGAAGAUUUAAAAAGCCAAGCGUUCUAUAGGUUCCACCGUUUUUCAUCGGGCCAGACAAAGAGAUAGUUGCAGCAUAGAGAGAUAGAGAGCCAGAUAAAUCUUUCAUGAAGAAACAAGAAUGACACAUCAAUAUAUUGGAUGAAUUCUGGUGACAAGGAUGAUGAUGGUGGUAGUUGUAUCAGUGGAGCAACGGUAGUGCCUGCUAAUAGAAAUGAUGGUAACCGGUUUGAGACGAGUGGUGGAGGCGGUAAAGGAUUUGAUCUCCUCCGGCGAGUUUUCCGACUAUCAUCGAGGUUAAUAGAUGUUGUUGAUGGUGAAUCCCGGUUAUAAAAGUGAGGGGAUGCCAUGUUAAUGUUCGGUGCAGUUAAUGGUGGCUGGUUGUAUAUAAUGGUUGUUAACAACCGUAGAACAGUAGUGAUAGGAGGAAACGAUGAUGGAGUUCUGGCGAAUGGUUGUGGUUGUGCCCGAUUGAAUCAGUGGUGGUUAUUUGGUUAGUUCCUUUUACUUUUUAUUCUUUUGACAAAAUUCAAUUCCGAUACUUCAAAGUU